GCAGAGGUAGCGAAGUGGAUAAACGCGGCCGCCUCAAGAGCGGCUCCCAUUAGGGGUUCGGGGGUUCGAAUCCCUCCCUCUGCA
rnacentral:tRNA from 1 species